rnacentral:tRNA from 1 species
GCCUUCUUAGCUCAGUGGUAGAGCGCGUGGCUUUUAACCAUCGUGGUUGUUGGUUUGAUCGCCCACAGACGGUG